CACUGAGCAUAAAAAAGAAAUGGAAGGAGGCAACGACUCCCACACCUCAAUCUGAGAGCGUCUGUGUUUUUAACGGCUGCUCUCGCUAUGAGGCCCUCUUCCUGCUUUGACAGUAAAAACUGAACAAUAAAACAGCCGCUCCUGAAAGAGGAAAGAGCAGACGACUGAACAUCUUCAAAGCAUGAGGACUCUCCUGCUUUAUUUUCUUUUUAUUCAGCUUUUUGAAGCCCGCUCUGAGUUGCAGUUAAAGCAUCUAAUGGAGGGGGAGUCUGUGGGGCUCUCCUGCAUCCCUCAGAAGGAUCGUGGCUCACUGGUCGGGCUCCAACUGUACCACCACGGCGUUCAGAGCCAAACCACCCUCCUGUCUGUCACUGAGAGUGGACGGGUCAAGGUGGACCCAGAGCUAAGGCCCCGUCUGAAGCUCCACGGAACACUAAACUCCUUGCAGAUCAAUGUGAGCAUCUCUCUCCUACAACCGAGCGACACUGGAGUUUAUGUGUGGGAGCUGAGUUAUGGGAGCAACAGCUCUGACUGGAGAGACCACAGUGUGAGGACAAUGCUGCUGGUUGAAGGGGCAGGAAAACUGUGUCAGAGCUACCACACCCUGCUCUUGACCAUGGCUGCAGCUGCUGGCUUUCUCCUGCUCACACUCGCCUGGAUAGCUGCCGAAAUCUGGGUAAUUAUCUCAAAGUUCACAGAUCAUUUUUUUAAGAUUUUACACCUUUUUAAUUAUCUAUUUUACUGUGGGGUAAACGACUUUGGCACUAAUCAUGUGAGAAUGUAAAAAAAAAAAAAGAUUUUUUUCUAAGCUGUGAAAAGAAAUGUUCAUAAGGAAGAUCAUAAAUGCUGUUGGGGAGGACUUUCAUGAAAUUAAAGUUAUUCAAAAGGUGCAAAAUAAAAGCCUCUUGAGUACAGCAAAAUGAAGAAAUUAAUACGCUCAUCUCUUCCCCUUAUUUACAUUGUUUAUCAUGGUAAAUGUAUCCCUUUGAUUUUACCUAUGAAUACAUUUUCAAAUUUGUUUUCCAAUAAUUUGGAUUAUUUAAAGACCAACUUCAAUGAGAAUUCCCUUUUAGGGGUUUAUGUGUUUUUGAGGCAUUUUUCUGAUGAAGGGUGAAUAUUUCUUUAAUAAAAUUGCAGAGAAUCAGACAAGAACAAAAACUCUGUUUGUAAAAGAUCAGAAUUAGAACAGAUUAGAA
rnacentral:lncRNA from 1 species